rnacentral:lncRNA from 1 species
CCAAAUAUCAAUCCUCACUUUUCCGUGAAGUGUUCACAAUUAUUUGUCUUUUUAAAAUUAAAAGGAUGAAAAAUCCCAAACUGAAAAGAGUUGAAAAUACGCUAUUAAUUUAGAAGUAAAAAAUAUAGCAGACAGAAUAAAUACGGCAAAAACAAACAAAUGAAAAAAAAAAAAUAGAGAACAAUUUGAAAUACCAUAUACAUGUUUAAUCAGUAUACUAGUAGAUUAUUCACGGGCCAA